AGGUAAUUAACUCAACGGUAGAGUAGCUGUUUUACACACAGAAUGUCAUAGGUUCGAAUCCUAUAUUACCUA
rnacentral:tRNA from 1 species